rnacentral:rRNA from 1 species
UACAGAGGUCUCGAGCGUUAGGCGGAAUCACUGGGCUUAAAGCGUGUGUAGGCGGAUCCGUAAGUACCUUGUGAAAUCCCACGGCUUAACCGUGGAACUGCUUGGUAUACUGCGGGUCUUGAGCCACCUAGGGGCGAGCGGAACAGAUGGUGGAGCGGUGAAAUGCGUAGAUAUCAUCUGGAACGCCAACGGUGAAAAACAGACAGCUGGGAGUGUGCUGACGCUGAGACACGAAAGCCAGGGGAGCGAACGGG